rnacentral:rRNA from 1 species
UACGUAGGGGCAAGCGUUGUCCGGAAUCAUUGGGCGUAAAGCGCGUGUAGGCGGCCCGGUAAGUCCGACUGUGAAAGUCCAGGGCUCAACCCUGGGAUGCCGGUGGAUACUGUCGGGCUCGAGUCCGGAAGAGGCGAGUGGAAUUCCUGGUGUAGCGGUGAAAUGCGCAGAGUAUCGAAGAGGAACACCGGUGGCGAAGGCGG